GAUGAACGCUGGCGGCGUGCCUAACACAUGCAAGUCGAGCGGGAAAUUUAUGAAAGAGAUUUCGGUCAAUUGAGUAAAUGGAGAGCGGCGGACGGGUGAGUAACGCGUAGGCAACCUGCCCCAUACCCAGGGAUAGCCUCGGGAAACCGGGAUUAAAACCUGAUAAAGCUUGGAAGUCACAUGGCAUUCGAGUCAAAGAUUUAUCGGUAAGGGAUGGGCCUGCGUCUGAUUAGUUAGUUGGUGGGGUAACGGCCUACCAAGACAGCGAUCAGUAGCCGACCUGAGAGGGUGAACGGCCACAUUGGAACUGAGACACGGUCCAAACUCCUACGGGAGGCAGCAGUGGGGAAUAUUGCACAAUGGGCGAAAGCCUGAUGCAGCAACGCCGCGUGAAGGAAGAAGGCCUUUGGGUCGUAAACUUCUGUUCUUAGGGAAGAGAACGGACGGUACCUAAGGAGUAAGCCCCGGCUAACUACGUGCCAGCAGCCGCGGUAAUACGUAGGGGGCGAGCGUUAUCCGGAAUUAUUGGGCGUAAAGAGUGCGUAGGUGGUUUUGUAAGCGAGAGGUGAAAGGCAAUGGCUCAACCAUUGUAAGCCUUUGGAACUGCGAGACUUGAGUGCAGGAGAGGUAAGCGGAAUUCCUAGUGUAGCGGUGAAAUGCGUAGAUAUUAGGAGGAACACCGGUGGCGAAGGCGGCUUACUGGACUGAAACUGACACUG
rnacentral:rRNA from 1 species